UCGUCCUUUGGUGGCAACUGGUGGUGUUUGUGUUUGGGUCAUGCAUAAUACGGGCCUGGGAUUCUGAGGUCCAA
rnacentral:snoRNA from 1 species